rnacentral:tRNA from 1 species
GGAGAGGUGGCAGAGUGGUCGAUGGCGUCAGUCUUGAAAACUGAAGUAGGGAAACCUACCGUGGGUUCGAAUCCCACCCUCUCCGCCA